rnacentral:rRNA from 1 species
GAUGAACGCUGGCGGCGUGCCUAAUACAUGCAAGUCGAGCGAACAGACGGGGAGCUUGCUCCUCUGACGUUAGCGGCGGACGGGUGAGUAACACGUGGAUAACCUACCUAUAAGACUGGGAUAACUUCGGGAAACCGGAGCUAAUACCGGAUAAUAUAUUGAACCGCAGGGUUCAAUAGUGAAAGACGGUUUUGCUGUCACUUAUAGAUGGAUCCGCGCCGCAUUAGCUAGUUGGUAAGGUAACGGCUUACCAAGGCAACGAUGCGUAGCCGACCUGAGAGGGUGAUCGGCCACACUGGAACUGAGACACGGUCCAGACUCCUACGGGAGGCAGCAGUAGGGAAUCUUCCGCAAUGGGCGAAAGCCUGACGGAGCAACGCCGCGUGAGUGAUGAAGGUCUUCGGAUCGUAAAACUCUGUUAUUAGGGAAGAACAAAUGUGUAAGUAACUAUGCACGUCUUGACGGUACCUAAUCAGAAAGCCCCGGCUAACUACGUG